rnacentral:rRNA from 1 species
CAAUAAGCGGAGGAAAAGAAACCAACAGGGAUUGCCUCAGUAACGGCGAGUGAAGCGGCAACAGCUCAAAUUUGAAAUCUGACCUUUCGGGUCCGAGUUGUAAUUUGUAGAGGAUGUUUCGGGUAAGAUCUAGGUCUAAGUUCCUUGGAACAGGACGUCAUAGAGGGUGAGAAUCCCGUACGUGGCCGAGGAUCGCACCCAUGUGAAACUCCUUCGACGAGUCGAGUUGUUUGGGAAUGCAGCUCAAAAUGGGUGGUAAAUUUCAUCUAAAGCUAAAUAUUGGCCAGAGACCGAUAGCGCACAAGUAGAGUGAUCGAAAGAUGAAAAGCACUUUGAAAAGAGAGUUAAACAGUAUGUGAAAUUGUUGAAAGGGAAGCGCUUGCAACCAGACUUGUUUAUAGGGUUCAGCCGUCGUUCUCGUCGGUGUAUUUCCCUCUUAUCAGGCCAGCAUCGGUUUAGGUGGAAGGUUAAAGGCCUUGGGAAUGUGGCACCUCUCGGGGUGUGUUAUAGCCCUUGGUGUAAUGCUUCCUACCUGGACCGAGGAACGCGCUUCGGCUCGGAUGCUGGCGUAAUGGUUGUAAGCGACCC